AGAAGCGCCUUCAUGGAACAGACACCCGUUUGUACUAGCGCUGAAUAAUUAACCCUUGCCGGCAAAGUCACUACUGGUCCGGCCCAGAAUGGCUUACACCGGUAGUGGCUUUUCCAAACCACUCCGAGAAUCGAUUACCUACCGCUAAACACUAAUUUCCCUCCAAAAGUCGUGCUUUGAUGUGUCCUGCCCCGUUUGAAGCUUUGAAGCGACACACGGGAGCGCUCUCUCUUUCUCUCUCUCUCUCUCUCUCGCUCUCUCUCUCUCUCUCUUUCUCUCUUUUUUGUACCUUUUUGGGUGGUCGGUCCUCCGAAAAAAGUAGUAGAAUCUGAAGUGACUGACUGAAAAAUCAAUAUCCAGCGCAUUUCUCCCAUUCCAUCACGAUUGCCCAAAUGAAGGUUGUGACACACCCCGGAGUUGUGACGCGCCACCACCAUGGCCCAUGGCGCACGGCGACGAAGCCACCUUGGACCAUUGGACUUGUUUUUUUGUUGUUGCCCGGUGGUAGGUUGCUGUUUGUGCUUGGUAUUUGGUGUGCUUUUUAUAGUCCGCCAGCUUUGCCUGGGUCAUAAUAAAGAAAACUGAAGCGCGUUCGCGUGUGGCCGGCUAAGCGAGCGCGAAAAGGUGAGAAAGGUGAGGUAUUAUUAAGUUCUUGUCAGGACCUGAAAUAUCCAUUACACCCGCUCUGCUCAGUAAUUUAGCUGGGGAGGGAGGGCUUGCUGGAGGAGAGAGAGCUGAUGUGCUGAUAUCCUGAUUAAAGUAAAUGACGACUACCUUACCCGAUUCGGCUUGGAAGAGGGAGAACCUGCAAAAACGGAACCUCAUUGGGGGAGGGAAUGUUCGUUUGGUUUGACUCCAAACCUGCAAAAAGGUUGCCAAGUAUCUGGUCGGGGACGGGGCCCGCGUGUCCAUUAGCACACGACACGCAAUGGAAAACAAGGUGGGUUUGAACACAGUCAGUGUUUUGGGGACGUUGAGGGUUUCGCGUGUCUAGGAAUUAUUGAUCCUGCCCAUGACAUUCCCCAUUUUUUGGGUCCACACGUGCUACACUCUCUGCAGAGGGGCACGGGAAUUAGUCAUAGGGCGGCACACUUUGGAACGAUGUUCCUUUGUCAAAGGAGAAAUCCAAAGUUGUGCCCUUCUUCCCGCUGACAGUUGAAUCAUCUUCUCUUCACGCCGGUCUAAGAAGAUAAGUUUUUGUUUUAUUUAUUCAGUUAAUCUUUCCGAACGCAACAAUUACGCUUCAAUAAUUCACUUCUUGUCAUCGUUCCGUUUCCGCACUUGACCAAGUCGACGAUAAGUUUCUGCUGAUAAAGUAUCUGCUCAACGUACUGUUGGAGCGACGAGCAUGCCAGCGGAUUGUUUGUCAUUCGUAGCGUCACCGUAGGCCAACGCUUGCUAUACAGCAGUGGCACGGCCGUGAACAGAUUGUUGACCAGCGUGAUGAAACUUAUGGCGGGCAGAUACCACCGAUCGUACGUUGGCAGCCUUCGCAGUGAAUUGCUUAUCAAAGCCAACGUUUUCAGCGAGGGCAGUCGCACCUUACGGCUAGCGGUGAACGUUUCCAGCUGGUUGAACGAUACGUACAGUGAUUGCAAUUGGUUGAGCCCGGCGAGACCGGCCAAAUCGAACGUGGUCAGCCGGUUGUAGUCGAGAUCGAGUACUUGAAGCUGGGUGUACUUCGUCAAAUCCCACGGUUGUUUGUGGAUGCGGUUUUUAGAUAGCAGUAGCGUUUUAAGACUCGGUGCAUCGAGCAGCAGUAGAUCGAGUAGUGUGAGAUUGUUUUGAAUCGCUUCGAUCGAGCCGAGGGCGGGCAGUGUCACUGGAGCGGACGAGUACAGCCGUUGAAGAUUGCAUUCCCGUAUGCUUAGCGUUGUCAAGCGUUGUAGCUGCCGCAGACUGUUGAAAUCUAGCUCAUCCAUCCACUGGGAGGGGGCGAAGAAAAGUUUGCAAACGUUGGGGAAUAAAUCAGUUCUUCAAAGAAAGUUUGCGCGCCGUAGUCGGUGUUCUCGGUUCGGUUCGAACUCUCUCUCGGUGUGUGUGUUUGCGCGAGAAAAGCAGAAAACUUUCCACCGGCUGUGCCGCGCAUUAGUGUGCUCGUUACGAAUCCGGUACGUGUGUGGACACACAGAUCCAUCAUCAGGCGAUGAAUUUUUCAAAAGUUUUUCCUCGCUCGCUGCUUGCUGCUGGUUGCUGGUACCUUGUCACAGAUUGUUUGUUUUUUUUCUCUUCUACUAUUCAUUGCCAUUGAAUGUCGGAUCAAUAAUUGCACUUGUAAACCACGGUUGCGGAUUAAACAGCCAAACCUCUUUAGAUGAUAGCGACAGAUAGCGAAAAUGCAUAAAGAAAUCAUAACGAUGCCGGUACUUCGUAACGCAAAUUCAUUGGAAGAGAAUGGAAGAAAGAUAAUUUUAAUAACAGUAAGCAAUACACUACGUAAAAGACGAAGAUUCUUAGCAAAAAACAACUUUAUAAACAUUCAAUAAGUGUAGGUUAUAGAUGAAAGGGAAAACGGAAACAAUACUAUCUCUCUACUGGUUCCGUUCAAACGUCAAUCACAAAAGAAAUGUACAAAUUAACACAACCGGUUAAAUAUAAUUAUUGCAAAAUAAAAGUAAAAAUCUUACCAAAA